GCCGGGUGUGGUGGCUCACGCCUGUAAUCCCAGCACUUUGGGAGGCUGAGGCGGGUGGAUCAUCUGAGGUCAGGAGUUCAAGACCAGCCUGGCCAACAUGGUGAAACCCCGUCUCUA
ensembl:misc_RNA Metazoa_SRP Metazoan signal recognition particle RNA